rnacentral:rRNA from 1 species
UGAAAGGGAAGCGAAUGGAGUUAGCAAUUCGCCCUGUCAGAUUCAGCCGCUCGUUCUUCGCGACGUGCGCGCUCUCGAUCCGCAUGGACGAGUCGCGUACGGGCGCGAGGUGCGGACGGCGCACUUCUGGCGAGCGAGCGUCAGCGUCGGUUGUCGACGAGUGACAAGGACGCGAGGAAGGUAGACUGGCCCUCGCGGUCGGUUGUUAAGCCUCGCGCUCGUAUAGCUCGACGGCGACCGUGGCGUUGCGACGCGUGCCUGGCUGGCGACCCGAACGUUCGGUCCGGCAUGUCGACCGUGGCGGACGGCACGCCUGUGCGCUCAAACUGCUGCCGGUCGAUCGGACGGUGUUCGCACACUACGCGUCGAGGAUGCUGACGAUUAUACGGCUCCAUCCGACCCGUCUUGAAACACGGACCAAGGAGUCUAACAUGUGCGCGAGUCUCCGGGUGAUCGAAACCCGUGGGCGCAAUGAAAGUAAAGAUCGUCCUAGACGAUUGAGGUGAGAAGCGUCUCUCCCUGCAAAGGGGGCGCGGCAUCAUCGACCGACCUAUUCUGCUCUCAGAAAGGUUUGAGUAAGAGCGUAUCUGUUG